AUUGAACGCUGGCGGCAUGCUUUACACAUGCCAGUCGAACGGUAACAGGGAGCUUGCUCCGCUGACGAGUGGCGAACGGGUGAGUAAUAUAUCGGAACGUACCCAAGAGUGGGGGAUAACGUAGCGAAAGUUACGCUAAUACCGCAUACGAUCUAUGGAUGAAAGCAGGGGACCUUCGGGCCUUGUGCUCCUGGAGCGGCCGAUAUCUGAUUAGCUAGUUGGUGAGGUAAAGGCUCACCAAGGCGACGAUCAGUAGCUGGUCUGAGAGGACGACCAGCCACACUGGAACUGAGACACGGUCCAGACUCCUACGGGAGGCAGCAGUGGGGAAUUUUGGACAAUGGGCGCAAGCCUGAUCCAGCAAUGCCGCGUGAGUGAAGAAGGCCUUCGGGUUGUAAAGCUCUUUUGUCAGGGAAGAAACGGCUGUGGCUAAUAUCCACGGCUAAUGACGGUACCUGAAGAAUAAGCACCGGCUAACUACGUG
rnacentral:rRNA from 1 species